UUUAGUACUAUUUAGCCGGUGCUCUGCUGUGAUUUGCUCCCUCUUUCCUACCACACAUGUAUCGUCCUUUUUUCUCCUUCUUCUUGUCUCUGUAUGAAUCUUCAGAACGUAUAUCUUAAAGAAUAUUUAAGUUGCAAGUGUCUUAAAACUCUUAUUUAAACUAAACUGUUCCAGGUUUCAGGAUGAAAUAAAUUAUACUAUGAUCUACUUGUAUUGAAAGUGCCGCAAAUCUUUUACAAAAACUGAAACCUGAACUAAAAAAGGCACCAACCACCGGAGCAGAUAAUACCGAAAGUGACAUUAAAACACAAGUGCAUUAAACCCCAUGUCUAAUGACGUGUUUCCCUCUCUCCCCCAGGUCGUCUGGGAGUCUGGCCUGUAGGUGUGAAGUGUUUGGAUUACCUGUAGCCGGCGCGCCAGGUUUUAUGGCCCUCGUAUUCCCACUGCUAGGAUAACAGAGCUGGGGAAUUUUCCACUUCCCUCACUCCGUGGGCGUUUCCUCGUAUGAGAAGAUUUUUAGGUGGAUUUCUAUGACGAGGUUGGUGAUAAUGUGUGACGUGUUAUUUGCCGUUAUCCGUUUAUUUUUUGUUAACUAGUUGUUAUCUCACAUAUUUUAGAAUUAUUGUUUGUAUUCUUUCUUUUCUCGUUGUCGUUGCUUUUAUUUUUAUUGAC